CAGAGUUGAAAAACUCCCAAACCCUUUGUGAAUCUACCUAUUGUUGCUUCGGUAGGCGGCCCCAGGGCGGGGCUAUGGUCUCUUAGAGGCGCCUGCCGGAGGUAAAAGACUCUAUAUGUACUGUAUCUUCUGAGCCUAAAAGAAAUAAGUCA
rnacentral:misc_RNA from 1 species